GGCGGGUGUAAAGCUCACACGUGGCAGUGGGGCUCAGGUGGCUUUUGGCGGAAAGAUUUAUGGUAACAGAAGGGGCUAUUUGGGAGGAAGGACAGAGAAGUGGGAGGAAGACAGAGAAGGCAAAAGGGAAUAUGAUCAAAGAACAUUGUGUGCAGAUACAAAUGUCAUGGCAGGGCCCAUUAUUUUGUACAAUAUUUGUUAUUAAUUUCUUUAAAGAUUUUUAGCCCUAAAGUUUUGGCAGUAAAUUUGGUCUAGGAAAUGUACUUGCCUCGAUAGACAGGUUCUCUGCCACUGAGCUGACUUGCCAGACAGUGCUUUAUUUUAUGGUUGGGAAAUCUAUUGUCCACUGGAUGCAUUUAACUGGGAGUCUUCGUCUUCGUCGGAUUAACCCAACACUAAAGGUUCAUUACUCCUAAGCAGCCACGUGGGGAUUCCCAGGCACAUUUAGGUCUUUCAUGCAUCAGGAAAGAAAGUCAUGAAAUAGGAGAGUCAUAAAAUUUAGGGGGCGGAAGCUUGUUCUGGCGCAACAUGGAUCUUCAUGGCAGGAUGUGACAUGUGAGUGAGGCUACAACCUUGUCUACCAGAUUAGACUGCUGGAAGUAAGGACAUGUUUGGAGAAAUAGCUUUGUCCACUUCUCUAACAUAAAAAAAGUCUAGAAAAUCCAAAGAAGGCUUGCUUCUCACAGUAUGGCAAUAUUCUUGGGGCCUUUGCUGAGGGAACAAGAGAGGAAAGAGAUUUAUUAAUUUAGGUCAAUUAUAACUCAGAAUAAAUAAUCUUCUGUCUUCUUCCAGCAAGCCCCCAGAACCCAGCUUUUCUUGACUUUCCCAGUAUGCUUUCUGGCUCAGAUUUUGUGUCCCCAACAUUUGGGGAACACAGAGCCUUUUGCAUUAGUUACCUGGGGAUUUGGGGUCUAGUCAAGGUUUGUCUCUAACACACCUGGAGAUCUUGGGAGAUGAGGGUUCGUUUUAACUGGGAGGUGUCAACCUUUGCCUCAGCCUUUACAUUAUCUCAUCUACAAACCCCCAGCAGCCUGUCUCAUCAGACUUAGGGAUUGUCAGUAGACAUGGCCACCUCUUCGCAUUCCUGAUUCUCAGUGAGAAUCUCUGAACCGGAUGAUCAGAAUGUAUUUUGUAUUCCCACCCCACUCCUAAGUUUUAGGAUUCUACAUUUAAAUAGAAGCCUUGAAAAAUAGACAGAUGUAGUUAUCCUUGUAUACAACUUUUUUCUUUUUCAAGACAGGGUUUCUCUGUGGCUUUGGAGGCUGUCCUGGAACUAGAUCUUGUAGACCAGGCUGGUCUCCAACUCACAGAGAUCCGCCUGCUUCUGCCCCCCAAGUGCUGGGAUUAAAGGCCUGCGCCACCACUGCCAGCUAUAAUUUAAUAUCCAGAAAGACAUAAAAGAAGAUGCGAACUGUAGUUUUCUCUGGAGAGAGAAUAUAGGAACCUGAUGAUGAAGACAAUUAUAGCGCUGGUUUUGUUGUUCAUUUUUGUGCUACUGGCGAUUGAGCCCAGGACUUUGCACAUGCUAGGCAAGUACUCUACCACUGAGAUAUAUUGCUAAUUCUUCACUAUUUAACACAGAGUUUCGCUAUAUGGCCCAAGCUAGAGUGGACUUUUGAUCUGCUUGCCUCCGAUUCCCAAGAGCUGAGAGUAUAGAUGCUGGAUGGAGCCUACGUAUGCUUUUUCUGGAUGGAUUUGCUAGCACUGAAGACAGAUGCAGGUUCAGUUACAACAGCAUCAGCAUCAUCAGCAUCAUCAGCAUCAGCAUCAUCACCAUCAUCACCAUCAUCACCAUCAGCAGCAGCAGCGGCAGCAGUGGCAGCAAUGUUUUAGAGAUGUUGGCUAUCUUGUCAUUUUACAUUCUCCUUCAAUCUGCUGAAGUCAUACCUAAGUCAUGGACUCCUAUAAGUGAACAAGGUGACUACAUUUCCAAGCCCAGUGGCAGUAAGAAGUCCCAGCACCACUCCUUGCAACACAUCUUCCCAGAGUUAAGUAGACUGAUAGAUGGUGAUGACUACAUGGCAUGUUUGCAGCCCUUGGAAUUUAUGACUUGUUUUAUUAGCUCUUCUUUAGAACCUCCCAUAAGGAUGGCCAGUAACACUGUGAUGAAAUUAAGGUCUCAGUGACAACAUGAGUGUGACAACUCAUUGCUUCCAUGGAUGAGGUUGGGUGGUUUUUAACAUUAAUAAUGAAGAGACUAUGACUACUCCAGGUACCAAGUCAAUGGAAGUGACUAGUGUCGAUGAUCUUUGAAGACUUCUUCAUUAAGCAAAUAAUUUCCCGAGGUACUUUUUCCUCUGACUGCUGCACAUUUCGUCCCAGAUAUCUUAAUCUUCUCAAAAGGUAAGACAGGAAGUCUGAGACCUCGAGAAUGGAAGAGUCUUGCUCUAAGUCACUAAGUGAGUUGACUGCAAGACCUAGACCACAGCCCUUGGCACAAAGGAGGUGCUCGAUAAAUAGUGAAUGAAUUCAAACAUACAUUUCUCUCCUUAUCAUGCUCUACAAGAUACAAUAUUCCUAACAUGGACUCUCCUCUUCUGAGUUGAAGUGGCAUCCUUGUCCACUGUGAUAGAUGCAAACCGUAUGUGGUUACAAAGCAUUCACAAUGUGGUUGGUCCAUACUGACAUGAGUUGUAAAUCAAUCUCAAUAUAUUUUUAAUAGGUUCCCUUGAUGAGGACCAGGCUGUACUCAGAAUUGUAAUCCUUCUGUCCCAGUAUGUUUGAUUUGCUAGGACUAGCCUUUAAUCUGAAAAUUGAACACUUGCUAUGACAAAAUGGAAAGUAUCUCAAUAAUCUUCAUAAUGAUCGCACAGUAAAAUGACAAUAGUUUUUGUAUACUGGAUUAAAUAAAAAUAUAACAUCAUGAAAAUUAA